CACACACACACACACACGCACACAGUAAAAUGUAGCUGUGGAGACGGUUGUGUUUCUCCAGCAGUGGUCACUUCUAAACAGAGCGAUGAGAACUGCAGCGACCGCAGGCAAGAUCACAGCACUCAUCUAUCCACAUAUACAGGUUUUAUACAGGACGUCACCAGCAGUUCUCUUUAAACCAGGCUGUUGUUCACAUGUGUGCAAAUGUUUUUGAAGUGUUUUUGUUAAUCCAAUCAUCUGGCCGUGGACGGAGCUUUCAGAAGAAGAGUUUACUUCAUUAAGAGCACAGCAGCUGCAAAACCCAACCAACGUUUGGAUGUUCCAGCAGUCAGCAACAGCCAAUCAGAGUCCUGCUUUCUUGCCUUCUUUCCCAACUCAGCGUCAUGAAGAAGAGUAAAACGACGUUGGGAAUAAGAAUCUAUUCUUCAUCUAUAAUUGAUUGAAUCAUGGCUGCCUCAGUGAUUGUGCCAUACAGGAAAAAGACUAACCUUGGCCUAUUCCCAGUGUGACAGAGCAAGAAGGGGAUGGCAAGGAUUCCAAAAACUGAUUUUGAUUUCUGAGAAAUCAAUGUUUUUUCCUCCUUCAACAUAUUCUUGUGUAACAAAUGAGCACUGGCUUCAGUAGUUGAAUGAGGAAGAAAAUUAUCCUGUUGAUGCCAUAUAACCAAAUCUGGGAGCUCUUGGGGGUUCAGUUGAAGGCUUGGCCUGCUCUAGGAUCGGGAUUUGCUGACCCAGUGGUACUUAUCAACACGAGGCCCAGAAAAGAGCUGCCUGAUUGGACGUCAAGGCUCGCCCGCUCCACGGCGUCAUGGAUUCGGCGGGAAAAUUCACCAUCUCCACGCCGACAGCUGUUCACCACUGAGACGCAGAAUGGAGUGCUGUGCUCGCCGUACCUGCAAGGAGGAAAAAACUAAUAGGAAAAGAAAAUUGCAACCAUAUUUUGCACCAGUGAUAAAAGCACUACUUCUAGUCGGACACUGUCAGCAACAUCAGCUCGCCAAUGUUCGUGAGCGUCAGGGCUCCGGUAGCGGUCCUGUCAUGUUUGAACGUGAAGAUUUAGCAUCUAGUUUUUUUUAAAUCUAUACAUAAACUGUAAAUCCACAACUUGCUGUCUUUGUGUUUACAGAGAGUUUGUGCUGGAACCAUUUUUUGGCCAGGAAAGUCUCAUCACUGAGGUUGCUAGGCGACUCCAGGAAGACUACAGCAAGUCACUGCUAAGCUACGCUAACUGCUUGCAGCUCUAGCUUCAUAUUUAGCAUAUAGACAUGAAUGGUAUUAAUUGUCUCAUAAAUCUUGGCAAGACGACAAAUUCUCCCCCUCCAAAACAGUUAAAAUGGACUUAAAAUGUAAACUAUUCAUUUAAUUUUCCAUCAAUUAAAAUGGGCUGAAUGAGCUUUUAACCUAAAAUAAAGAGACAUCAUAAUAUGACUAAAAUAAUCUAAUUUAGCAAUUACUUGGUUGAAACCGUAAGCUAAUAGUGAGCAGUGAUGGUGUGAAGCCAAAGCUAAAGUGUGGUUCAUGCUUAAUCCCCCAAAAAAAAAAAAAAAAAACAAAUUGCUCAAAUUACACAUCCUGACCUGCAGGACACCUCUCCAGGGUCAACCCACACAGUCAGCUCCUGUGGAAGGCCCAGAUCCUCGUACCGCACUGCGCCCCGCUCGCAGGCCUGCUGCAGAACUGGGUCCUGCAGCUGCAUACGGUUCAUACGCAGACACCUGAAACACAGCAGUGACAAUCGGCAACAAAACACUACUAUGCAUCGUCAAUAUUAGAUUAGAGGAUUUUUGUUGAAAAAGUGGAAUAUUUAAAAUUUCAUUAGGUUGGUUCACAGAUUAACAAAUUUUCUUUUACCUAUAGCGCCAUCUGUAGAUCGCUAUAGCUUUAUUCAUCCAGAUUUUUAGGUAUAUCAGAUUUGUGCCUCAUUCCCAAUAAAGUAAAGUAGAAUGAAAUUCCAUUUGUGAUGCUCAGGAACAAAAACUACAAUCCCAGUGAAAAGUGCUGAAAGUGUUAUCAGAGUGACAAUAACUACUUUUUAUUUAUAGAUAUAAAAAAAAAGUUACUCUGGAUAACAAGAACAUGCUGCAACAUGCAUGAACAGGGUUCAAUCUGAUGAUUUCUUUGGUACAAAGUAGUUUGUAAAGUCUAUUCAAGAGUACCUGGGUACUUUCUGGACUGUAGUGUUGCUGCUGAAUAUUUUUAAAGUCAGACUGAGUGACAUCCGCUGAAUAAAGGUGAAAAUUGUGGGAUAAUGGUAAAUGCUACAACCUCUAACAGUAGCAAAAGUAGAGUCAUUAAGUCAGUUCCCCUACCAAUGUCUGAUAACUUUUGCCACCCUAAAUGUGUACUUAAGUGUGAAAGUGUGCAUUUUACUGCUCAUGAAUAAAAAUGUCCAUUCGUAAUAA